UACGAAGGGGGCUAGCGUUGUUCGGAAUUACUGGGCGUAAAGCGUAUGUAGGCGGAUCGUUAAGUCGGGGUGAAAUCCCGGAGGCUCAACCUCGGAACUGCCUUCGAUACUGGCGAUCUUCGAGUCCGGGAGAGGUGAGUGGAACUCCGAGUGUAGAGGUGAAAUUCGUAGAAUAUUCGGAAGAACACCAGUGGCGAAGGGCGGUCUACCUGGGGCC
rnacentral:rRNA from 1 species